rnacentral:rRNA from 1 species
AACGAACAUUGGCGGCAGGCCUAACACAUGCAAGUCGAGCGAGGCUUCGAGCCAAGCGGCAGACGGGUGCGUACAACAUAGGAAUCUACCUUUAGCUGGGGGACAACAGUCAGAAAUGACUGCUAAUACCGCAUACGACCGAGGCGCAAGCCCGGUGAAAGCUUUAGCGGCGAAAGAUGAGCCUAUGCCUGAUUAGCUAG